rnacentral:rRNA from 1 species
GUAGGUGGCAAGCGUUGUCCGGAAUUAUUGGGCGUAAAGCGCGCGCAGGCGGUCCUUUAAGUCUGAUGUGAAAGCCCACGGCUCAACCGUGGAGGGUCAUUGGAAACUGGGGGACCUGAGUACAGAAGAGGAAAGCGGAAUUCCAAGUGUAGCGGUGAAAUGCGUAGAGAUUUGGAGGAACACCAGUGGCGAAGGCGGCUUUCUGGUCUGUAACUGACGCUGAGGCGCGAAGGCGUGGGGAGCAAACAGGAUUAGAUACCCUGGUAGUCCACGCCGUAAACGAUGAGUGCUAAGUGUUAGGGGGUUUCCCGCCCCCCUUAGUGCUGCAGCUAACGCAUUAAGCACUCCGCCUGGGGAGUACGGCCGCAAGGCUG